GAUGAACGCUGGCGGCGUGCUUAACACAUGCAAGUCGAACGGAAAGGCCUCUGCUUUCAGGGGUACUCGAGUGGCGAACGGGUGAGUAACACGUGGGUGAUCUGCCCUGCACUUCGGGAUAAGCCUGGGUAACUGGGGCUAAUACCGGAUAGGACAAUGGUUUGGAUGCUGUUGUGGAAAGUUUUUCGGGGUGGGAUGAGCUCGCGGCCUAUCAGCUUGUUGGUGGGGUAGUGGCCUACCAAGGCGUCGACGGGUAGCCGGCCUGAGAGGGUGUACGGCCACAUUGGGACUGAGCUGCGGGCAAGAGUCCGAAGGGAUGCAGCAAUGGGGAAUAUUGCACGAAGGGAGGAAGCGUGAUGCAGCGACGCCGCGUGGGGGAUGACGGCCUUCGGGUUGUAAACUCCUAUCGCUAGGGACGAAGCGGUUUUGUGACGGUACCUGGAGAAGAAGCACCGGCUAACUACGUG
rnacentral:rRNA from 1 species